rnacentral:rRNA from 1 species
AUUGAACGCUGGCGGCAGGCCUAACACAUGCAAGUCGAGCGGAUGAAGGGAGCUUGCUCCUGGAUUCAGCGGCGGACGGGUGAGUAAUGCCUAGGAAUCUGCCUGGUAGUUGGGGAUAACGUCCGGAAACGGGCGCUAAUACCGCAUACGUCCUUAGGGAGAAAGUGGGGGAUCUUCGGACCUCACGCUAUCAGAUGAGCCUAGGUCGGAUUAGCUAGUUGGUGGGGUAAAGGCCUACCAAGGCGACGAUCCGUAACUGGUCUGAGAGGAUGAUCAGUCACACUGGAACUGAGACACGGUCCAGACUCCUACGGGAGGCAGCAGUGGGGAAUAUUGGACAAUGGGCGAAAGCCUGAUCCAGCCAUGCCGCGUGUGUGAAGAAGGUCUUCGGAUUGUAAAGCACUUUAAGUUGGGAGGAAGGGCAGUAAGUUAAUACCUUGCUGUUUUGACGUUACCAACAGAAUAAGCACCGGCUAACUUCGUG